rnacentral:tRNA from 1 species
GACUCUAUGGUGUAGUGGCUAACAUACUGGACUGUCGAUCCAGAGAUCGCGGGUUCAAAUCCCGCUAGAGUCGCCA